rnacentral:rRNA from 1 species
AGGGGACGACGUCUGGUCAGCAUGGCCCUUACGGCCUGGGCGACACACGUGCUACAAUGCCCACUACAAAGCGAGGCCACCCGGCAACGGGGAGCUAAUCGCAAAAAAGGUGGGCCCAGUUCGGAUUGGGGUCUGCAACCCGACCCCAUGAAGCCGGAAUCGCUAGUAAUCGCGGAUCAGCCAUGCCCGCGGUCGAAUACGUUCCCGGGCCUU